GCGCGCGAGGGCUUGUAUUGUGCGCAGAGGACGAGUGACGCGCGCGCGAGUGUUUGAAAUUAGCUCGCGUGCUGCCGUUUCCUCGCGUGUAGAUCUGUUUUCCUCUCGCGGAAGUGAUUUACCGCGCGCGCCAGCAUAAGUGGCGCGCUCGGUUAUUAAUGGCACAGAUUUGACGCCAUAAUAUAAGCUGGUUAAGGACAGGAGCAGUCACAGUCACCGUUGGUCAGCGAACUUUCACACAAAUGUCCCACUUUGAUCGUAGGAGAAAUCUGUUUGGGACAGGGAGUAAAACCUUUGCACUGCAAGAGGCAGCUGCCACUCGAUCAGCCACCACUGUAUACGAGUAUCUGUCGAUCUGUUACCAUUGAAUGAAUGAAUGAAUCAGCUGUUUGAUUACUCGCUCGUGAAGACGGGAUAAGCAUUUCAACAGAGCCACAUCACCGAAUGAAAUUACACACCGGGCCAUUCCACACUGUCCACUUCCUGUGUGUUUGGUUUUUUCAGAACCUGCAUGGACAAGUCUGAUGAUUUUGGAGAUGUUGCCAUGGCCCUCUUUACAGAUGAUACAAAUUUCAUUACCAACAUGGAAAUAUGACUCAAAUUGUUAUAGGUCUAAAUACAAUACAAUUACAAAAGAGACUAAUAAAUAUUGUGUUAAUUGUACUUAAUAGUGCCUCUCGGUGUACUUUCAGGUCCUAUGAACUUCAUGCCAUGCGAACUGUGAGUAACUUCUUUUUUUUUUUAGUAAUUUAUGAACAAAUCUGAAAUGGCACAUUGCAACUGAAAUGUUCAAAAAUAUCUUAAUUUGUGUUCCGAAGAUGAACGAAGAUCUUACAUUUGGAACAAAAUGAGUAAUUAAUUAAUUACAUUUUUGGACAAACUAUCCCUUUAAGAUUUAUAUAAAUGCUUUAGACUGUAGUUAUUCUUUUGAAAUUCUUCAUAAUAUGAAUAGUGUAUAAGGAUUGCUCAAUAAAACUUAAUGGAAUUUUACUAUACAAUUGAGGUCUUUAACAGGAUUAAAUAUUUUAUAUUUUUUGAGUGUAUAUUGUGCAUGAGUUAAAUAUUGACUAGAGUUUUUAAAGUCAUUUCACAAUCACAUUGCAACACAAGCAGGUUUAUAAUAUAUGAUUCACAUGGGUUUCACAUGGGAAUAUAUCAUGGGAAUAUACAUAUUUCACAUGUGAUCACAUGGGUUUCAAAUGGGAAUAUACAUGUGAUCACAUAGGUUUCACAUGGGAAUAUACAUGUGUUUCACAUGAGAAUAUACCAUGGGAAUUUACAUGUAUUUCACAUGUGAUCCCAUGGGUUUCACACGGGUUCACAUAGGAAAGUACCAUGGGUUUCACAUGGGAAUAUACGCGUGUUUCACAUGGGAACAUACAUGGGUUUCAAAUGUGAUCACAUGGGAUUCACAUGUGAUCCCAUGUGUUUCAUAUGGGAAUAUACCAUGAGUUUCACAUGGGAAUUUACAUGUAUUUCACAUGUGAUCCCAUGGGUUUCACACGGGUUCACAUAGGAAAGUACCAUGGGUUUCACAUAGGAAUAUACGCGUGUUUCACAUGGGAACAUACAUGGGUUUCACAUGUGAUCACAUGGGAUUCACAUGUGAUCCCAUGUGUUUCAUAUGGGAAUAUACCAUGAGUUUCACAUGGGAAUUUACAUGUAUUUCACAUGUGAUCUCAUGGGUUUCACAUAGGAUUCACAUGUGAUCGCAUGAGUUUCACACGGGUUUCACAUAGGAAAAUACCAUGGGUUUCACAUGGGAAUAUACGUGUGUUUGACAUGUGAUCACAUGGGUUUCACAUUGGAUUCACAUGGAAAUCCACAUGAAAAUGUUCCAAAAACACACAUUUCCCAUGUGCAAAGCACACAUUUUCCAUGUGCAAAGCACACGCUUCAAAUGUGAUUUUCACACGUUUUCACAUGUGCAGAAUCACAUGUAUAUGUGGCCACAUGUGAAAUUCAUGUGUUUUUUUUUUUCUGUGAGGGCUAUUAAGAACAAGGAGUGAUUUCAUCUAUUAUUCCUUUGAAUUUGUUAAUAAUUUUGAAGUCAUUAUCCCUGCCUUUACGAUUAAGGUAUUCAGCUUCAGGGCACAGUCCUAAUGAAUAUAGUUAUCUGAGAGAUUAGUUUAUUAAUGCAGUUCACAUGGUUGUAUAGCUGAGUGUACAAUACAAUAGGACAAAAAUUGUGAUUUAGCAUUUUGUCACGCUAUACUGAUAAUAAAAAGUACCUCUUUACUGGAAAAGCCACACUAUUAUUAAAAGAGCUGAGCUUCUCAUACACUUCUGAAUAAUGUAAUAAAAUUAGCAGCAUUGCUACUUUUACUCGCCAACGCUGCCACUGGGUAUAUUUACAUUUGCACUAAAUCAUUUAGCAGAUGCUUUUAUUCAAAGUGACUUACAAAUGAAGAAAAUCUUUGUGGGAGUAAAUCAGUUAUACAGUGCAUUUGUUUAUGGUUAUGGAUUAAUUUUAUGCUUUAUGAAAGAACAGCGAGAAAGAUUGUGGUAGUGUUUGAGGCAACAAUAUGAGAUGUGAGAAAAUCAGAUGCAGAUGAUCCAGAAUGAGAUGGGGUGACUGAUCUUUAAUCAGCUGAAAAGAGGCCCACAUCACCCCUUUUGGCCUCACUCCUGUAGUGGCCUGCAUUAAAUUCAGAGCUUUGGAGUUGACCUUCAGUACUGCCACUGAAUCGAUUUCCAGAGGCUUCACCCUCUCUGUUCCUCUGAGUUGGAAAACUAAAAAAAUAUUUUUCAAAUUGCCUACACAGUUUCAGUUUGCACAACGCAGCUACUGUAAAAGACACUACUUAUAAAUAAAUUCAGCAUGUUUAGUUCUUAUAUUAAUCUUCUGUACUGCUCUUAAGAAAGAGAGGCGGGAUGUAAGUUCUUUUUUAGCUGGUCGAAGGCCAGAUGGGCUACCAUGUUCUGGCUCGUUUGCAGGUUAUUACAUUUCAAGUUGCAACGUAGCAUGUCAAAAUGUUACAUUACACUGUUUGGUCACAUUAGACACCAUUUUAACAACAUGAUCUCAUGACAAUCAGUAUGUAUUUUACGUAAAAUGUGGUUCUAUAAAACGUACAAUACUGACAUAUUUUCAGCAUCUAAACAUACAAAACUGACAUAUUGACGACACCUAAAAACAAAUCCUUAUGGAUAUUGAAAU